rnacentral:rRNA from 1 species
GAUGAACGCUGGCGGCGUGCCUAAUACAUGCAAGUCGAGCGAACAGAUAAGGAGCUUGCUCCUUUGAAGUUAGCGGCGGACGGGUGAGUAACACGUGGGUAACCUACCUAUAAGACUGGGAUAACUUCGGGAAACCGGAGCUAAUACCGGAUAACAUUUAGAACCGCAUGGUUCUAAAGUGAAAGAUGGUUUUGCUAUCACUUAUAGAUGGACCCGCGCCGUAUUAGCUAGUUGGUAAGGUAACGGCUUACCAAGGCGACGAUACGUAGCCGACCUGAGAGGGUGAUCGGCCACACUGGAACUGAGACACGGUCCAGACUCCUACGGGAGGCAGCAGUAGGGAAUCUUCCGCAAGGGGCGAAAGCCUGACGGAGCAACGCCGCGUGAGUGAUGAAGGGUUUCGGCUCGUAAAACUCUGUUAUUAGGGAAGAACAAAUGUGUAAGUAACUGUGCACAUCUUGACGGUACCUAAUCAGAAAGCCACGGCUAACUACGUGCCAGCCGCCGCCGUAACAC